rnacentral:lncRNA from 1 species
UUUUUGCAGUAUAUAUAAUAAUGAAGUUAUAAGUCCGGCUACUAUAUAUACUAUCGAUAGUACUAAGCUUUUAGUACUAUCAAGUUUUCUGCCGUUAGAUCUAUACUUUGAUCAUUUUCAUCCGUUAGAUUAUAUGAUUCAACCAACCACAUGCUCAAUCCUAGGGGACCACGAUCAUCAUAACUGCACAUCCUUUCAUCCAACGGCCGAAAAUUCGAUAGUACAAAACGCUUGGUACUAUCUUCAUGAAGAAGAAGAAGAUAAGUAAACAGUAGAAUUUACUUUCGUUGCGUUUUUAGCGAUGAAACAUUCGAAUUAACGGUCGGCACAGUCAAGCACGAUAUAAUCUAUCUGAACUUUUGAGGAACCUAAUUUUUCAUA